GCACCGCUCGUGGACCGCGCCCCCCCAUUGGCCGCCAGGCACAAGGCCUGGCGGCCAAUGGCGCGCGCCUGAGCCCGGGGCACCGGAGGCUACAACGUCAAUCAAAAGGAUUUUAACCCUUUGAUACUAUCCCUGCUGGGCUUUGCUUUAGGCAGGAUUUUUUCCGCAUUGGUUUUGCUCUAGUCUAGUUUAUUUCUUUGGGGGCUACGGUCUUUGCUCUUCAUUUCCUUUCAAAUGGGUAAUAGAGCUGCUUUGACACUAAGUUAAUUUGAAAAAUAUUUUUAAAAGGUUUAGAAGGACAGGGUAAAAGAUUAUACUUGCAGUGGUUAAAAGGGGGAACGUGUGCAAGGGUGUGAGUUACCGACACAUCCAAGUAAUUUCCCGCUCAGACUAUACAUUGGGGGGCGGGGGUGAAAGUCGAUCAUGCAGAAAAAGAACAAAAAAUAUGUCCUUUUGUCAUGCAGAAAAGGGAAAAAAAUGCCUCCCACCUUACAUUUGCAGGUCGUUCAGAGCAAGGUGGUUUUUGAUCUUCACCCCUCAUUCCUCUUCAGGAGUUGGGGCUUGGAUCCCGCUCUUCCUCUGGAAAUAAUCAGAAUAAUUUCCAACUGGGCAGAAAGGAAAUAGAAUUUCAAAUGAAAGAUGAACAAGGAGGACUUUGAUGGCAAUGCCUUAGGGACGCGCCAUCUCCACCCUUUCCCUUUCAACCCGCAGGCUCUCGGUUCGGUGGCACUUAGAGGUGGCGGGCUGUGCAGGAGCCUCUCCCCUCCUCCUCGCCAGGCGGGCGGCGGCGGCGGCGGCGGCGCAGCCUCAGCACCAGGCGCACGCGGGCCCUUUAAGAGCGACACCAGCCGAGCUGCAGUUUGACAUCAGCCGGCCGGCGAGGGCGCGCCUGGAGCCGGAGCACGUGCCAGGAUGUUUUAUUGCCGCCGCGGCUGCGGCCGGGGCCGGGAGGAUGUGUGUGUGCGUGCGUGUGUGAGUGUGUGUGCGCGCGCCCCGGGGGCAGAGAGGCGGGGGGCGGCGGCGGGCGGCGGAGCGCGGGGGCUGGUUCCUGGUCCCCAGGAGAAGCCAAGAAGAUUCCCUGCAGCCUGCCAGAGACGUGGUCGCUGCCCUGCCAAGAGCUAUCUGGGAGAGCUAUUGAAAGAGCCUUGAGGCCGGACUACCAUGGCCAGCCUUGACUGAAAUGCCAGAGGAGCAGGGGAGGGGAGCGCUGUGUGACGUGCUGGUGUGUGGCCGCCUGCCUGACCCGCAGAGGCCUCUGAGAAAGUGCCAGAGUGUUACUGGCUUCCCAAGGAGAUCGCCACGCUGUGCACGUAUCACACAUGUAUCCAGCUGGGGCCUCACCACGCUGGGCUCCCACAGUCACAGAGGGCCCGGUAACCGCGUUCAAGUAGUGACAUCGUUGUCUGGGGUGGCUCUUCCACACUCUGCACCCUCCUCACCUGCCCUCAAAGUCUGGCACCUGGGACAGACCUGGACGGCGUGUCUAGAAGUACCUGUCAUCAGACAGGACCCCAUGCAGGCUUCCACAGUGAAUUUAGUUAUCUUAUCUCCUUCAUCUGCUUCACUCUGUGGCAGAUCCACCAUCUUUCCUCGUCUUUCACGACACGUUCAAGGGUCCUAGUCAGUUGUUUCAUAGAAUGUCCUCCACUGGGGUCUGUCUGACAUUUUCUCGUGGCGAUAUUGAGGAGCUGCAUUAUUGGGAAGAACACCCAGACUUACCUGAUGUUGUAUUUCACUGCCGUUAAACAUGAUCACAAGGUUAAGAUCAUUUCUCCAGGAUUGUCUAUGAUCAAGUUACGACUUUUGUAUUUCUUAAAAGUUUUUUUGGGGUGUGUGUGUGUGUGAUAUUUCAAAGCAAUGCAAAUAUGCUAUUACGCUUGCACUUCUGCCUACUAAAUCUAUCAAAGGAUCUCACCUGUGGCAAUGAAUAUUGUGGCAAUCUAAAAGUCAUGUUAUUCCCCUCAUUCCUUCUACAUUUAUAAAUUGCAACUCUUCUUAAGGAGGAGUUGCAUGGUGUUACAUUGUGGUAAAGCAGAAAUAAAAAAUAACCCAUA